GGCAACACGUGUUUGCUCAUAAGGAGACUACGACCAAGCUUCUUAUCAAUGUUGAUUUAGAGUUAUCAGAAAAAGCAAGACGAGGACAUUUUUAAUAACAAGAUUCAGAGUGCUUGAGCAUUUAACAAAAGUGGCAUUCAUGUGUUAGACGGGACAAGAAUUUCUCAACGCGUUAUUCUUCCCAGCUGUAUCUUUCAUUUUCUUUCAUACAUAAUAGCCCAGACAUCUUUGUUAACUCCUGCAAAGCCGUCAGUGGACCAGUCACCUCCUCGUCUCAGUCAAAACCCUCUCUGAACCUCCAUCUUUCUGGAGGCAGGUGUCCUUGCUGACAACACUUCCACGACAGGACCAUGUGAAGUUUCCCGGCUACCCAUCUGAGGGCUUUUGUCCUAUCCCAGAAAAGUGGCAGUGCCCCUUCUCACUCCCCCGGGCAAAGACUUGGCUUUAAUCUGGCAUGGAGAGGAUGCCAGCCCCAUUCAGGCCGCUGAUGUCAUGCAUAUGCCCACCGUGGGAGAGCAGCGGAUGGACCCGCAGGGGGGCCAAGCGCCUUUCUCCUCUCACUCAAUCCGCUCUCUAUUGGGAUGAAUCAUUCUUUCAGGAAUGGCAGCCCACUGUGAGGCACAAUUGAUGGCGAUUAUCCCAAUUUUAUGCUACCUUCCAGAGUGAGAAGAUUCUCUCUCUGACUCUCUUUCUUCCUGUCUCUCUCUCUCUCUGACAGCUAUUACAACCUUCUGGCCCUUCUUGAACCAAAUACACACACACACACACACACACACACACACACAGAGAGAGCUCUUCUCAACAGCUUAUAGCAUAAUAAAUGAAUAAACCUGGAAUGAAACAUAGCUGAAAUGUACACCUGUCAUUGCAAAACAUCACUAAUGAUCUAGUAUAUCAUGCUCAGACGGUUACAUUUACAUGUUGUUCUUGUAGGGUCUGUUCCAUGAUCUUACUAUCUCUUUUUCACACGUUACCUCAUGAAGAAAGUUACUGGCACGUUUAAGAUCAUUUAAGAAACAUUUAGAUUAGAUUAUCAAGGUCUCUGAGAAGGCUGAGAGCAUAAACCUAAAAAAACUGACCAUAGCUGACCACUUAGACAAUCUUUUUUUCCCCAUUUUUAUUAGAUUGUACAAUUAACCACAAAACAUGACCUUAUUUUCUGGAAAUGUCACUUAGAAAUCUGUAAUAAUAUGAAUAUUGCAGCCAAAUUUGAUGAUCCAGAUAUUCCAGAUAUUCUUUUCAUAAUAUAUUGUGUCUAAGUCAGGAGAAAAUAGCACAAACAUCAUUAUCAUAGUUUCCUAACCGGCCGGUGUUAAGGGUAAAGUCACGACUGCGGCUGACAAACACACACACACACACACACACACACACUGUACGGGGUCAAGACUCGGGGCAAAAGUGAAUGUCUAGACAGAGGUCAAAUCCUUGCUGGAGGACACACACAAGCACACACACGUACAUCCCCAUCAGGUCAAAUCUAAUAGCAAGGACAAUAAAGCAUUUACAUUUUAAGUAAUGAAUCACACUCGCAAUGCAAUUCAAUACCAAUUAUGUGUUAAAGCAUAAAUCACUGAGCAUAAAUCCUGAUUGUGACAUAACAUUCUUGAUGAACAUAUAACAUUCUUGUAUGGUCUAAUCUCAAUUUAGUUUACUUAUGUUGCAAUUGGAUGUGUAAUAUAUAGUAUAAUGUAAAUCCAGCUGGUUACUGCAGAAUAAAUCGUAUUAUUGCUUACUUUUUGCCUUAGUCCACUCAUCAUCAGCAAGGUUGUACAUACUGAUACAGCAGAACGGAUAACACUUCAAGUCAUUUCAGUUUGAAUUAUUACUUCAAGCAAAGUCAGUUAGUAUAGUACUGUUUCAUCUGACACACUCAGUUCAGUUCAUGAAUCUGUCUCAAGUCAGGUCACCACUUUUAUCCAAAAGAGAUUGCGCCCAAGCCCAAACUGUA